CCUACGGGUGGCAGCAGUGAGGAAUAUUGGUCAAUGGGCGCGAGCCUGAACCAGCCAAGUAGCGUGAAGGAUGACUGCCCUACGGGUUGUAAACUUCUUUUAUAAAGGAAUAAAGUGAGGCACGUGUGCCUUUUUGUAUGUACUUUAUGAAUAAGGAUCGGCUAACUCCGUGCCAGCAGCCGCGGUAAUACGGAGGAUCCGAGCGUUAUCCGGAUUUAUUGGGUGUAAAGGGAGCGUAGAUGGGUUGUUAAGUCAGUUGUGAAAGUUUGCGGCUCAACCGUAAAAUUGCAAUUGAUACUGGCAGCCUUGAGUACAGUUGAGGUAGGCGGAAUUCGAGGUGUAGCGGUGAAAUGCUUAGAGAUCACGAAGAACUCCGAUGGCGAAGGCAGCUUACUAGACUGCCACUGACGUUGAUGUUCGAAAGUGUGGGUAGCAAACAGGAUUAGAUACCCGGGUAGUC
rnacentral:rRNA from 1 species